rnacentral:lncRNA from 1 species
UAUGUUGAGAUUAGAAGUGAUUUGAUGAGUAAUUAAGAGAGGAUAACACCAAAAAAGACAGAGCAUAUAGUGGAGAGAGUAUGAGAUUUAUUAAAAAUUAAUUAAUUAUGAAAUAAUAUCUACUGUAGAUUGUGUGCACAUGCAUUUCCCCUACUGCAUUAUAGCACCCUCUGUCUAGUUCUUCUCUAUCUUUACUCGUAUAUGAUUUAAUAUUACACAAAUUAUUGAUCUGUUAAGGAUUUUAUUUUAAAU